UCAGAUGUCUCCGAAAACAAUUCGUGGAAUUUAAAUUUUUAUUAGUUCGAACUCCCAAAAUUGCUCCUGAAGUUUAAAGUUUAAACUGGAGAAAAUGAAAGGAGGGAGUACAUGUGAAAACACUCAAAAGAGUUGCACUGAAUUUGAAUAAGAAACCAUAACUAUCAUCAUCUCUGACCUCUGUACUCGUGACACAAGUCCAACCAUACCAAUUAAUUUUCACAAUUUUGAAUGCAGAAGCAUUGAAGUUAGGGUUCCGUCGAUCCAUCGGGAAAGUUCUUUCCAGAGAUUGUUGAGCGCUACAGGAGUUUGCCGUCACGUCGCAACUUUCGCUUCCGUCGCCGGCGAGAGAAAGAAAACAGCUAAAGUUUUAAGCAGGGACGGCUCAAUGCAAUUGAUGAUCUAGAGCCACUUGGUGUUGUUUUGGGACUAUCCUGAUUCGCAUUGGAAAGUUUCACUGUUGGAGUUUAAACAUUCCUUACCAAAGGCGAUUUCAUUUCACGGGCUUGAACUUAAGACUUAUGGCUAAGGAUAGAGGAGUACUUGUCAUCCCACCACAACCUUUGGUCGUAUAUAUUUAUAUCAUUAUGUGACGUGAUCUAAUAGAAAAAAGUGAGAAGGAAUAAAAAGAAUGUGUACUUUAAAUUAUUAAUAGUCGUUUGGAUGAUAUUUGGUUGAA